AAAAAAAGGAGUUUUAAAGCUUUUGCUUUUUUGGAUUGUGUGAAUGCUUCAUUCGCCUCACAAACAACCACAGAACCACAAGUGCGGUGCAAACUUUCUCCAGGAGGACAGCAAGAAGUCUCUGGUUUUUAAAUGGUUAAUCUCCGCAGGUCACUACCAGCCACCGAGACCAACAGAGUCAUUUAAGGCUGCAAGCAGAAUUUACAACAGAGGGUACAAGUUCUGUCUGAAAAAAAAGGAGGGACUAUGGCAUCAAACAGCCUCUUCAGCACAGUGACACCAUGUCAGCAAAACUUCUUUUGGGCAGUUAAAGCAAACAUCCAGCAUCUCCCGAACCAUCCCAGGUUCUUCUGAACGUUUAGCCUCCAGUUCGUCCUACUUGCAAUAGGUCUCCUCUCCACCUAUCCAAAUCCCAGCUGCCGAGAGAAGCCCAACAGAAGCCCGGUGUCUCCAAGAUGUCCUAGACUCACGAUCUUCAGGAAUUCUCCUUUCCCUGACAUUAUUGUUUUCAUUUACUAAUUCU